GAUUGUCCAAGAUUCGAUGGACCCUAAUAAGGAAGUCGUGGAUUGGAAGAUAGUUGUUAUUGAGGAGAUAUCUUUGUUGUUUUUGUCGUGAAUGUUUAUAAUUUGAUGUCAUUUUAUGACACCUGUAAUAUAUUUAUACUGAACAAGUUAUGGCUUUUGUGAUAAUUUAUCCAUCAUAUUUAUUAAGCGUUUUGACCUGAUUCUUUAUUUUGUCUUGUGUGAUU
rnacentral:lncRNA from 1 species